rnacentral:ncRNA from 1 species
AAGUGCAGUUCAGAAGUGAACUGUUAAAAGGGAAACAGGUGAAAAUCCUGUGCUGUCCCGCAACUGUAUACGGGUUAUCGGCAAAUGCCACUGUGUAUCAUGGAUCGCUGUGAAUCAUGGGAAGGCUGUCGAUGGAGACCGUAAGCCAGGAAACCUGCUUAUGUCG